rnacentral:rRNA from 1 species
AUCAGGGGUAAACCUGUGGAACUCGAACGAUCGAACGGAGAGAUUCAUCGCGUUUCGGGGGCGUGCGCYGUUGUUGUAGUCGUUCGCGYUUCGGCGCGGGCGGAGASUGCGGCGUCGCMCAGYUCYCGAAACGCGCGCACUUCUCUCUCAGUACAACACCGCGACCCGUUGCGCGRGGGUCGAACGCGCCGUGCGGUUGUCCCGGCGGGGUCGCUCGCGACCCCGUCGGAGCCGCGGCGUCGCGACCUCCGCGCGACGGUAACGAACGAGGAUCGAGUCCGCCCUCUCGAGGGCGUCCGCGUCGCAGCGGCGGCGCUCCCCGCCCGGCCCUCGGCGCCGCGAGGCGUCGACGGUGUCGGGCGUCGGCGAACGCCAGGGCGUCGCUCAGCUGCGGCGGCUCGGACGGGACUCGCCCCGGUCAGCGGUGGUUUUGUUUCGGGCACUCMCAGGACCCGUCUUGAAAC